rnacentral:rRNA from 1 species
CGGAACACGUACACAAUCUACCUUUAUCUGGGGCAUAGCCCGAAGAAAUUCGGAUUAACUCCCCAUAAGAUAUUACUAAGGCAUCUUAGCGAUAUUAAAACUCCGGUGGAUAGAGAUGAGUGUGCGUCCCAUUAGCUAGUUGGUAGGGUAAAGGCCUACCAAGGCGACGAUGGGUAGCUGGUGUGAGAGCACGACCAGCCACACGGGCACUGAGACACGGGCCCG